rnacentral:lncRNA from 1 species
GAGAACAGAAUUUGGUCCCAAAAACAGAGAUCAUUGUGACUUUGUGAGGUGUUUUACUUAUAACAGAUAGGUCAUACCUUGUUCUAAAAAUCGACCCCCUAGCCGUUUGAGCUUUACACGUCAUUCUUCCGCUCCGAUUUAUGCCAAAUUGGUUAAAAAAUCGGAUAUCCGAUUUUUUCCGCCUAGACCGUCUAAAUGACCGCCUAGCCGCCUAGGCGACCGCCUAAUCUAUUUUUUAAUUAUUUUUUAUUUUUAUUUUAUUUUUAAUAAUAUUUUUAUUAAUUAUUUGAUCUAAAAUUUUAUAAAUAUCAUUUAUAUUCAUAAUUUUGAUGAAAAUUACACUAUAUUAAGUUUAUAUAUUCUAUUUGUGUUUUAUACAGUCUUAAACAUGAAAAUGUAUUAAUGUUAUACAUAAUUGAAGAUUAACAUAUUUUUUUAACACAGUAAACAAUCUAAAAAUUUUAUCCCGAAUAAUUUUCGAUUAAUUCUCGAUUUUUUUUAGCCGCUAGGUCCAAUCUGACCGUCCGAUUAGCGCUUAGCGCAUUCUCAAACAGGGGGUCAUAUUAAUACGGGAGCUAAUAUAGGUGUAGCUAUAAAAGAACAAAG